AGCAGUCGCCGCGGUAAUACGGAGGGGGCUAGCGUUGUUCGGAAUUACUGGGCGUAAAGCGCACGUAGGCGGCUUGGUAAGCUAGAGGUGAAAGCCCGGAGCUCAACUCCGGAAUUGCCUUUAAGACUGCCGAGCUAGUAGGUGAGAGAGGUAAGUGGAAUUCCGAGUGUAGAGGUGAAAUUCGUAGAUAUUCGGAAGAACACCAGUGGCGAAGGCGGCUUACUGGCUCAUUCUAGACGCUGAGGUGCGAAAGCGUGGGGAGCAAACAGGAUUAGAUACCCCUGUAGUCCCUGUCUCUUAUAC
rnacentral:rRNA from 1 species